AUACGGAGGGUGCAAGCGUUAUCCGGAUUCACUGGGUUUAAAGGGAGCGUAGGUGGCUUUGUAAGUCAGUGGUGAAAUAUUGCGGCUCAACCGCAAAACUGCCAUUGAUACUGCUUAGCUUGAAUCAGGUCGAGGUGGAUGGAAUAAUACAUGUAGCGGUGAAAUGCUUAGAUAUGUAUUAGAACACCGAUUGCGAAGGCAGUUCACUAGGCCUGUAUUGACACUGAGGCUCGAAAGCGUGGGGAUCAAACAGGAUUAGAUACCCUGGUAGUCCACGCCCUAAACGAUGUAAACUCGACAUUAGCGAUAUACUGUUAGUGUCCAAGCGAAAGCGUUAAGUUUACCACCUGGGAAGUACGACCGCAAGGUUGAA
rnacentral:rRNA from 1 species